UGUGAUCAAUUGAGAACUUUUAGCUUAAUUGAGAAUUGAGAUUCAUUUUCAGCCACUUAUUUUUAUUAAAUGGGUGGUCCAAAAUUUGCCACUUGGAAAAUAGUUUUAGAUUAAUUAAUUAUGAAAGGACAAAAUGGUAAUUUAAACAAUAUAACCGCAAUUCCCAAUCUCCCACACACAACUCCUUCCACCAAAAAUCCUAAUUCCUCCCCAAUUUUUCCGCCAUGGCAACGAAUAGAAAGCGCAGUCCAUCCUGAAUCGUUUCAUCACCAUGAAAGAGGAGAAGAAGCCGCCUAAGCAGCGCCGCCCUUACCUGGCAUCGGAGUGCCGCGAUCUGGCGGAGGCCGAUAAGUGGCGCUAGCAAAUCAUGCGCGAAAUCGGACAGAGUGCGUUCUCCGAUCAUUCCAGAGUGCAUUCUCCGAUCAUUGCCUGUUAAUUUCCCGCGCCGAUCUGAGCAAUUGAAGGAGAUUGAUGAGGAGUUAAAGGAUGAGUCAAGUAUUUGAAGGUUAUGAGCGGCAAUACUGUGAGAUAUUCUGACAUGGUUGGAGAAGCGGCGGCAGGAUAGAAUCUGGAACGAGAAGCGGCGGCGGAGGCUGGAGAAUCUUCUCGACGCGGCGGAGCGGCCAGAAUCUAAUGACUUCAUGGAGCUACCGCCUCGAUCGGGAGAGAAAGAGGCGAAUUUUUUCUGCAUACUUACAAAUUAGGCUAUUCCGAUGGCGAGAAGCUGCUGAGGAGUCGGAAGCUGAAGAAGGCACCGGUGAAGGCGAAAUCAGCGGUGGUUUCGGCGUUGGAAUUUGUCUGCGG